CAAGAGUUUAACUGUGUACUGUUUUCAUAUUCAAUAUUUAACCAUCCGUCUUAUUUAAUUUUUUUAUGAUUAAUAAUUUUAUGUAAUUAGAUAAUAAAACAUAAAUAGUAUUUUAUAUUUAACUAGUUUUAAAAAAAAUUAUAUAUUUUUUUAAACAAGACGGAUGGUUAAUUGUUGAUAUAGAAACCACGGCUUCAAUUGAA
rnacentral:pre_miRNA from 1 species